rnacentral:rRNA from 1 species
AGUGAACGCUGGCGGUAGGCCUAACACAUGCAAGUCGAACGGCAGCACAGUAAGAGCUUGCUCUUACGGGUGGCGAGUGGCGGACGGGUGAGGAAUACAUCGGAAUCUACUUUUUCGUGGGGGAUAACGUAGGGAAACUUACGCUAAUACAGCAUACCACCUACGGGUGAAAGCAGGGGAUCUUCGGACCUUGCGCGAUUGAAUGAGCCGAUGUCGGAUUAGCUAGUUGGCGGGGUAAAGGCCCACCAAGGCGACGAUCCGUAGCUGGUCUGAGAGGAUGAUCGGCCACACUGGAACUGAGACCCGGUCCAGACUCCUACGGGAGGCAGCAGUGGGGAAUAUUGGACAAUGGGCGCAAGCCUGAUCCAGCCAUACCGCGUGGGUGAAGAAGGCCUUCGGGUUGUAAAGCCCUUUUGUUGGGAAAGAAAAGCAGCAGGUUAAUACCCCGAUGUUCUGACGGUACCCAAAGAAUAAGCACCGGCUAACUUCGUG